rnacentral:tRNA from 3 species
GCCCCCGUAGCUCAGUUGGAUAGAGCUGGGGAUUCCUAAUCCCUGUAAGCCGGCAGUUCGAAUCUGCCCGGGGGCACCA